AGUCAAGUAAUUAAGUGCAUGUGGUGGAUGCCUUGGCAGUCAGAGGCGAUGAAAGACGUGAUAGCCUGCGAAAAGCUCCGGGGAGGCGGCAAAUAUCCUUUGAUCCGGAGAUGUCUGAAUGGGGGAACCCACCUACUUUAAGGUAGGUAUUGCAACAUGAAUACAUAGUGUUGCAAGGCGAACGAGGGGAAGUGAAACAUCUCAGUACCCUUAGGAAAAGAAAUCAAUUGAGAUUCCCUCAGUAGCGGCGAGCGAACGGGGAUCAGCCCAUUAAGUUA
rnacentral:rRNA from 1 species